CUGAAAGUGUGACUGGACUACAGGCAAUCCUGGCCUUGGCAGAUGAGGAUUCCAUGGCACAAAGAGCCAGGAAGGGAUUAAGAUGAGAAUCCUUGUGACUCGGAGAGGCCUCUCUCUGCCAGAAACCGGAGCUGCAGAGUUCUUACCCUGCCCAUGCCCCCAGCAGUCGGGCUUGCCCUGCCUUCCAAGCACCCUGUCUCAGAUGGACGGCUGCCAUGUGCAACAAAGCAACUAAUGGGGGGUGGAAAGAGGCGAGACUAGACAGCACUUUGGAGAUAAUUAAAUUAAACUCAGAUUAGGCAAUUACCCCAAAGAUUCCCAAACCUGGCUGAACACCAGAAUCACCUGAGGAGCAUUCUUGGAGUGGGGGGAGAUUCCGGGCCUCACCCCAGACCUGCUUAAGUGGGAUUUCCAGGGGAAGGCCAGGAAUCUGAGUUUUUAAAAAAG
rnacentral:lncRNA from 1 species